AGCGGCGGACGGGUGAGUAACGCGUGGGUAACCUGCCCUGUACACACGGAUAACAUACCGAAAGGUAUGCUAAUACGAGAUAAUAUGCUUUUAUCGCGUGGUAGAAGUAUCAAAGCUUUUGCGGUACAGGAUGGACCCGCGUCUGAUUAGCUAGUUGGUAAGGUAACGGCUUACCAAGGCGACGAUCAGUAGCCGACCUGAGAGGGUGAUCGGCCACAUUGGAACUGAGACACGGUCCAAACUCCUACGGGAGGCAGCAGUGGGGAAUAUUGCACAAUGGGCGAAAGCCUGAUGCAGCAACGCCGCGUGAGCGAUGAAGGCCUUCGGGUCGUAAAGCUCUGUCCUCAAGGAAGAUAAUGACGGUACUUGAGGAGGAAGCCCCGGCUAACUACGUGCCAGCAGCCGCGGUAAUACGUAGGGGGCUAGCGUUAUCCGGGAUUACUGGGCGUAAAGGGUGCGUAGGUGGUUUCUUAAGUCAGAGGUGAAAGGCUACGGCUCAACCGUAGUAAGCCUUUGAAACUGGGAAACUUGAGUGCAGGAGAGGAGAGUGGAAUUCCUAGUGUAGCGGUGAAAUGCGUAGAUAUUAGGAGGAACACCAGUUGCGAAGGCGGCUCUCUGGACUGUAACUGACACUGAGGCACGAAAGCGUGGGGAGCAAACAGGAUUAGAUACCCUGGUAGUCCACGCCGUAAACGAUGAGUACUAGCUGU
rnacentral:rRNA from 1 species